rnacentral:rRNA from 1 species
UUAAGCUACAAAGAGCGUAGGGUGAAUAGCUAGGCACCAAGAGCCGAAGAAGGACGUGAUAAGCUGCGAAAAGCUUUGGGUAGGAGCAAAUAUCCAUUAAUCCAGAGAUAUCCGAAUGAGGGAACUCACUUAGAGCAAACAAUCUAAGUAUCCAUAUAUGAGUAAAGUAGUAUAUGAGAAGGGAACGUGGGGAACUGAAACAUCUUAGUACCCACAGGAAAAGAAAGAGAAAUCGAUUCCUAGAGUAGUGGCGAGCGAAAUAGGAAGAGCCUAAACCAUGAGUAGUAAUACACAUGGGGUUCGGACCACGAUAUAUUAUCAAUAAUUCUAAUAGAAAUGUUUUGGAAAAGCAUACCAUAGACGGUGAAAGUCCAGUAUAUGAAAGAAAAGUUGAGAUUAGUGGUAUCCAGAGUAGUACGAGACACGAGAAAUCUCGUAUGAAUAAGCGGGGACCAUCCCGUAAGGCUAAAUACUACUUGGUGACCGAUAGUGAACUAGUACCGUGAGGGAAAGGUGAAAAGAACCCCGGGAGGGGAGUGAAAUAGAACAUGAAACCCUAUGUUUACAAGCAGACAAAGCACUUUAUAUGUGCGAUGUCGUACUUUUUGUAGAACGGUCCAGCGAGUUAUUGUGUAUGGCGAGGUUAAGUAUUACGUAAGGUACGGAGCCGAAGCGAAAGCGAGUCUGAAAAGGGCGAUAUAAGUCAUGCAUAAUAGACCCGAAACUGAGUGACCUAUCCAUGAGCAGGAUGAAGCUAGAGUAAAAUCUAGUGGAGGUCCGAACUGAUUGUCGUUAAAAAGGCACCGGAUGACUUGUGGAUAGCGGAGAAAUUCCAAUCGAACUCAGAGAUAGCUGGUUCUCCUCGAAAUAGCUUUAGGGCUAGCCUUGAGGGAAUGCAUAUGGGGGUAGAGCACUGAAUGAGGUAGGGGCCUAACCAGGUUACCAAACUCUAUCAAACUCCGAAUACCAUAUGUAAAUACUCAGGAGUCAGACUGCGGGAGCUAAGUUCCGUGGUCAAAAGGAAAACAGUCCAGAUCGUCAAUUAAGGUCCCAAAGAUAUAGCUAAGUGGAAAACGAUGUGAUUUUGCAUAAACAACCAGGAUGUUGGCUCAGAAGCAGCCAUUCAUUCAAAGAGUGCGUAAUAGCUCACUGGUCGAGUGAAGUUGCGCGGAAAAUUACCGGGGCUAAGCUAUACACCGAAAUUGCGGAUUUACAUUUGAAAGACAAUGUAAGUGGUAGAGGAGCAUUCUGUAGUAGGAAGAAGCAUGACCGUAAGGACAUGUGGACGAAGCAGAAGAGAGAAUGCUGGAAUAAGUAGCGAGAGGAUGGUGAGAAUCCAUCCCGUCGAAAAUCUAAGGUUUCCCAGGGAAGGUUCGUCCGCCUGGGGUAAGUCGGGACCUAAGGAGAGGCCGAAAGGCGUAUCUGAUGGAUAGCAGGUUGAAAUUCCUGCACUACGAAUAUACUUAAAAGAUUCAAGGGACGCAGAAGUGGAAGAUAACCAAGUAAGAGGAAAAGCUUGGCUCGCAAGAGGGAGUGAAAAUUAAAAGUAACGAAGUAUCAAGAAGCACGCUGACGAGAAAAGCUUGAAGAUAUUGUAUAUAAGUACCCGUACCGCAAACCGACACAGGUAGAUGAGGAGAGGAUCCUAAGACGAGCGGGAGAAGCAUUGUUAAGGAACUCGGCAAACUAACCCCGUAACUUCGGAAUAAGGGGUGCUGAUGUAACAGUCAGUCGCAGAGAAAAGGCCCAAGCAACUGUUUAACAAAAACAUAGGUUUCUGCUAAAUCGAAAGAUGAAGUAUAGGAGCUGACGCCUGCCCAGUGCUGGAAGGUUAAGGGAAAGAGUUAGGGUUAAACCGAAGCUUAGAACUGAAGCCCCAGUGAACGGCGGCCGUAACUAUAACGGUCCUAAGGUAGCGAAAUUCCUUGUCAGGUAAG